rnacentral:rRNA from 1 species
UGGGGAAUAUUGCACAAUGGGGGAAACCCUGAUGCAGCGACGCCGCGUGAGUGAAGAAGUAUUUCGGUAUGUAAAGCUCUAUCAGCAGGGAAGGAAAAUGACGGGUACCUGACUAAGAAGCCCCGGCUAACUACGUGCC